rnacentral:rRNA from 1 species
UGCGUAGGUGGGUUGGUAAGUCAGUGGUGAAAUCCCCGAGCUUAACUUGGGAACUGCCAUUGAUACUAUCAGUCUUGAAUACCGUGGAGGUCAGCGGAAUAUGUCAUGUAGCGGUGAAAUGCUUAGAUAUGACAUAGAACACCAAUUGCGAAGGCAGCUGGCUACACGAAUAUUGACACUGAGGCACGAAAGCGUGUGGAUCAAACA